rnacentral:rRNA from 1 species
CCUACGGGAGGCAGCAGUAGGGAAUCUUCCACAAUGGGCGAAAGCCUGAUGGAGCACCGCCGCGUGGGUGAAGAAGGUCUUCGGAUCGUAAAACCCUGUUGUUAGAGAAAAAAGUGCGUGAGAGUAACUGUUCACGUUUCGACGGUAUCUAACCAGAAAGCCAAGGCUAACUCCGUGCCAGCAGCCGCGAUAAUACGUAGGUGGCAAGCGUUAACCGGAUUAAUUGGGCGUAAAGGGAACGCGGGCGGUCUUUUAAGGCUGAUGUGAAAGCCUUCGGCUUAACCGGAGUAGUGCAUUGGAAACUGGGAGACUUGAGUGCAGAAGAGGAGAGUGGAACU